CCUACGGGAGGCAGCAGUGGGGAAUCUUGCGCAAUGGGCGAAAGCCUGACGCAGCAACGCCGCGUGCGGGAAGAAGGCCUUCGGGUUGUAAACCGCUUUCAGCAGGAACGAAAAUGACGGUACCUGCAGAAGAAGGAGCGGCCAACUACGUGCCAGCAGCCGCGGUGACACGUAGGCUCCAAGCGUUGUCCGGAUUUAUUGGGCGUAAAGAGCUCGUAGGCGGUUCAGUAAGUCGGGUGUGAAAACUCUGGGCUCAACCCAGAGCCUGCAUUCGAAACCGCUGUGACUAGAGUUUGGUAGGGGAGCGGGGAAUUCCUAGUGUAGCGGUGAAAUGCGCAGAUAUUAGGAGGAACACCGGUGGCGAAAGCGCCGCUCUGGGCCAAUACUGACGCUGAGGAGCGAAAGCGUGGGUAGCAAACAGGAUUAGAUACCCUGGUAGUCCACGCCGUAAACGAUGGGCACUAGGUGUGGGUUUCAACUAACGAAAUCCGUGCCGUCGCUAACGCAUUAAGUGCCCGCCUGGGGAGUACGGUCGCAGACUAAAACUCAAAGGAAUUGACGG
rnacentral:rRNA from 1 species